AUUGAACGCUGGCGGCAGGCCUAACACAUGCAAGUCGAGCGGUUGACGGGAGCUUGCUCCCUGAUUCAGCGGCGGACGGGUGAGUAAUGCCUAGGAAUCUGCCUAUUAGUGGGGGACAACGUUUCGAAAGGAACGCUAAUACCGCAUACGUCCUACGGGAGAAAGCAGGGGACCUUCGGGCCUUGCGCUAUCAGAUGAGCAUAGGUCGGAUUAGCUAGUAGGUGAGGUAAUGGCUCACCUAGGCGACGAUCCGUAACUGGUCUGAGAGGAUGAUCAGUCACACUGGAACUGAGACACGGUCCAGACUCCUACGGGAGGCAGCAGUGGGGAGUAUUGGACAAUGGGCGAAAGCCUGAUCCAGCCAUGCCGCGUGUGUGAAGAAGGUCUUCGGAUUGUAAAGCACUUUAAGUUGGGAGGAAGGGCAGUAAGUUAAUACCUUGCUGUUUUGACGUUACCGACAGAAUAAGCACCGGCUAACUCUGUGCCAGCCGCCGCCGUAAAAC
rnacentral:rRNA from 1 species